rnacentral:rRNA from 2 species
GGGCCGCACGCGCGCUACACUGACAGAGCCAGCGAGUCUACCACCUUUGCCGGAAGGCAUGGGUAAUCUUGUGAAACUCUGUCGUGAUGGGGAUAGAGCAUUGCAAUUAUUGCUCUUCAACGAGGAAUACCUAGUAAGCGUGAUUCAUCAGAUCGCGUUGAUUACGUCCC